AACGCAAGUUGCGCCCCAAGCCUUCUGGCCGAGGGCACGUCUGCCUGGGUGUCACAAAUCGUCGUCCCCCCAUCCUCUCGAGGAUAUGGGACGGAAGCUGAUCUCCCGUGUGUUACCGCACGCGGUUGGCCAAAAUCCGAGCUAAGGACGUCAGGAGCGUCUUGACAUGCGGUGGUGAAUUUAAUUCUCGUCAUAUAGUCAGACGUUCCGGUUCAAAAGCUCUUGAUGACCCAAAGUCCUCAACGCGACCCCAGGUCAGGCGGGAUCACCCGCUGAGUUUAA
rnacentral:misc_RNA from 1 species